GGACACGGCCGCAGGAAACCGGGCUCAGGGGACACGGCCACGGGACACGGCCGCAGGAAGCGGGGCUCAGGGGACACGGCUGAGGGGACACGGCCGCAGGACACGGCCGCAGGAAGCCGGGCUGCGGUGACUCGGCCGCACGUGACGCGCCCACGUCCGCCUCCGCCGGGAAGGAGCCCGCGGCCCUGCGCAGCUGAUGAGGACCAGCCCCUCUUGGUUGUUGCAGCUCUACCGGCUCCCAGCCUGCAGGUUUGUUUUAAUGUGGAAGUGGAUCUUACAGCAUAAUGUAAAUCAAACAAGCAAAGGAAAAAAGGAUGUCCAAAGUGGUCUUCCUGGAUUUCGAUAAAGGACCAUUGCAGGAAGCCAUGGAUAUUAGUUUAUAAAUGUAC
rnacentral:lncRNA from 1 species